rnacentral:tRNA from 1 species
GUGUUGAUGGUUUAAUGGUAGAAUUCUCACUUCCCAUGCAGGAGACCUGGGUUUGAUUCCUGGCCAAUACA